GUGAACCUUUGAGAAGGGGGAGAAGUUAAGAUAAGCCGUUAUUUGGCUUUUCGAAGUUUUCCCCCCUCUCUUUAUUAACACAUACCCCCUUAUAAAAUAUUGAACGUGAUCGUGCCGAAAGGCCAUAAUCAAAUAUACAACUUUUAACAACGGAUCUCUUGGCUCUCGCAUCGAUGAAGAACGCAGCGAAAUGCGAUAAGUAAUGUGAAUUGCAGAAUUCAGUGAAUCAUCGAAUCUUUGAACGCACCUUGCGCUCCUUGGUAUUCCGAGGAGCACGCCUGUUCGAGUGUCGUGAAAUUCUCAAACUGGAUAGCUUUAUUGUUAUCUCAGUUUGGUUUUGGGCUUUGCCGUCUCCUCUUUUGUGAACGGCUGGCCUUAAAAGUAUUAGCUGACCCUUGUUUGUGGGAUUGGUUCUACUCAGCGUGAUAAUUUUAUGACCGCUGAGGACAUCUUUCGGGAUGGCCAGCUCUGCCUUGGAUCGCUUCUAAUCCUGGUAUUUGGAGUCCGCUCCUUAUCCUUAACUAUUUCAACUUUGACCUCGAAUCAGGUGGGACUACCCGCUGAACUUAAGCAUAUCAAUAAGCGGAGGA
rnacentral:rRNA from 1 species